rnacentral:rRNA from 1 species
UACGUAGGGUGCGAGCGUUAAUCGGAAUUACUGGGCGUAAAGCGUGCGCAGGCGGUCCACAAAGUCUGAUGUGAAAGCCCCGGGCUCAACCUGGGAACUGCAUUGGAAACUAACGGGCUCGAGUGUGGCAGAGGGGGGUGGAAUUCCACGUGUAGCAGUGAAAUGCGUAGAGAUGUGGAGGAACACCGAUGGCGAAGGCAGCCCCCUGGGCUAACACUGACGCUCAGGCACGAAAGCGUGGGGAGCAAACAGG